rnacentral:rRNA from 1 species
GAUCCUGGCUCAGGAUGAACGCUAGCUACAGGCUUAACACAUGCAAGUCGAGGGGCAGCGGGAUUGAAGCUUGCUUCAAUUGCCGGCGACCGGCGCACGGGUGAGUAACGCGUAUCCAACCUUCCGUACACUCAGGGAUAGCCUUUCGAAAGAAAGAUUAAUACCUGAUGGUAUGAUGAGAUUGCAUGGUAUCAUCAUUAAAGAUUUAUCGGUGUACGAUGGGGAUGCGUU